CCGCCAUUUGAGAGCAGGGGCAGCGAAGGACUUCGGCUCUGUGUGCGGAGUGGGGUCUGACAGCGGCCCCUCUUCUGUGACAAUCAGUGCGGCCAUGCGCCUUGCCCGGCCGCCCCUGCGCUUCCUGGGGGCUGGGACUCGCCCUUCUCCUCCGGGAGCAGCUGCGGCAGGAUCCCUUUACUCACAGCUGGCUGCCCUGCCUCGCUUCUUUCUGCUCCCUCCGCUUCAGCCUCUUCUGGGAAGCAGGGGCUUUGGCUACUUGCAGGGCGGAGAGGCGAGCUCGGCUUGCCUGCAGGAGCUCUCUGCUCUUCCCCGGGGGGAAGUAGCCUGUCAGUGGGGUGUCAUACCCGCCCCUGUAGCUGCAGUUUUGGAUAUAGCUGGUGCCGCUUCUGUCAGCGUGAGAGACUAGCUUCCCCUAGCGAGGCUGGGUGCUGCACGUUCCCUUGCGGCGACCUAUUUGUGGAUGUGUCUGUGCUCAAUUUUGUCUGCAGCCCCCGUAGCAGCAACAUGCAGGAAAACCACCCUCUCAACAGUGUAGCGGCAUCAUCGACCUACUGAGGAGGACGCAGUGCCUGUGUAGCCACUGCAGGACCUGGGUUGACCCUCCCAGUCUUCCAGCAGCUGUCCCACACUGCCCCAUUCCAUGACCCUGACUGUGCUAGUCACAAUUUUAAACUCCACUGCUCAAGGCUCACCGACCAGAAACCACCCUCCUGCCUUUACAAGGGGGGAAAAGGAUAGUUCAGUGGUUUGAACAUUGGCCCUCUAAAUCCAGGGUUGUGAGUUCAAUCGUUGAGGGGGCCACUUAGGGAUCUGGGGCAAAAAUUGGGGAUUGGUCCUGCUUUGGGCAGGGGGUUGGACUAGAUGACCUCCUGCCAUCCCUUCCAACCCUGAUAUUCUAUGAUCCCCUGUGCUUUUGAAAUGCCUUUUCCUGAUUGCCCACCUUGGCAAGCAUACCUAGCAGCAAGGGAUGAAAGUAACAUAAAACUCUUACCCAUAUGGGGCCUGGCUCUGGCACCCCAGAAGAGGCGGAGCUGGGGGUCAGCCUCCAUCAGACAACCCUUCUGCGCCGCCCAGGGCUCCAGCUAUUGCCAUGGGAGCCCCGGGCCCUUUUAAAUCACCAGGCCCCGGAGAGCUUCCCCUUCCCCCCAACACCUUUGGCAGCCCUCCCAGGAAAGUCCUUAAAGCGCUGCUGCAGCAACACUUUAACGUUGGCUGUGUACGGGCCCAUACUGGUGGCAACUUCUUACCAGUACACCAUACUGGCCCACUUUCACCUCUGCUAGCAGCUCACCCUUGUUGUGUGCAACCGCCCAGACGACCAUGGCAGCUCCGCGCACUAGUUGUGCUCCUGCCUGGAUCAGACAGGAACUAAUGGUUCUGUGCGUUCACAGCUACAGGCCACCUGUAGAAACAGACAUUUUACACAUGAGCAGAUUACACAGGCAAAGGGGUAUGACAGGAAUCAGGAGCAGUGCAGUGUGAAAGCAAAGGCACUGCAUCAGGGAAACCACAAGGUGAGGGAGCACAACAGUAGAUCUGGGUGCUUCACAGACUUUCUGUUUCUGCAAGGAGCUACAUGCCAUGCUUUGCAGAGACCCCACCAGCACACUUCAGACCACUGUGGAUGCCUGAAGGACCCUGAGACAGAGAUCCCUGCCUUGAACAGUGGGGAGAAGGAAGAGGAAGAAGUGGUAGAUUCCAAUCAUGGAAGCCAGGAGCUAUUUGGGACUGCCACAGUCUAGGCAGUGUCACCAGGCAAAUGCAGAUGAGCCUGAUGAAGGCGCAGGGAACUCGGCAAACUGUCUGCGAAGAAAUCUACAUGUUCCCCAUUGUUGCAGUACUUCCUGUGAGUCUGUAAAUACAGGAGAAUCAUGCAUCCUGUAUUUGCAACAUUCAUGAGAACAACAUAGAAAUCUGCAGGCUCCAUGCUCCUGUUGGAGAUAGGAGACAAUGAAAAGUCCUAUACAGAUUGCAUGCAUGUUUAAUGCACAGAAAUGGAACAUCCUAAAUAUUAAGCUACUAUCAAGGCAGCAAGCUUGAUUUUUCUAGAAUGGAAAAAAAAAUGGAAUAAGCUGUUUACAUUGGUUCAUCCCAAAAUGUCCUGGAGACUGAGAAACUGAGGCAAACAAGAUAAGAGACACAGGAACUAAGUCUGAGCUGGGAAGAGAAUUCUAAUCAGAGUGAUACAUCAGCUCUAGAACUAGUCACCAAGCUCUGUCUUUCUACUUCCAAGAGGUUUUUCCGGCCCACAUCUAUUGUUCAGCAUAGCUUUAGUUUAUCUGAAUGACAACCUCCCUGGUAUGCAGAAUGUCAAUCCCUUUAAAGGCACAGGCAGGUAUCUGAAAGGUAAGAGACUAGAUACGUUCUGCAUAUGUGGAUAUGAUAUGUCUUUUCCAGAGCUAUUAUCUAUGAUUCAUUACAUUACCUAAAUACUUUCAGCUAUUUUCAGACUGGACCUAAAUUCCAGGUUACACCUCCUCCUUAGGCUUUUUACAUAAGGAUAACUUGGCUUUUGCACAUAUGGUAAAACAAGCUGAACUGCUUUGCAUAUUUUUUGUUUCUUCAGCCAGUCUAUCUAACAAGGCCAAGUGCAUACUGUUGACUUAGGUGCUGCACUGCACAAGCUACAUUUUACAUUAGUCCCAUGUCUUCAUGGCCUAGAAGAGGAACUUUGCAGUGGAAGCACUGUGGAAUAAUCAAGUGAGAUAGGCACUGCACACAGAGGUGUGGGGGAACCUACCAAACUAAAAGCAAAAUUCUCUUUUCAAUUCUCCCAAAGGUGGAGAUACAAAGUACACAAAUCAGGAAACUCUCAAACACAAGGUUGCUCUGCCACGUUGUGCAUCAUGCAUAUUUUACAGUAUACCCUAAGAGCAAACAAUAAUAAUUGAGGUUUGCAUCACAAAGAGAAAUAUGUGCACCAGAGCCAAGUUCAUGUGGCAACAACCUCAACUCUGGAAUUGCCCCCCUUUUUAGUGAUCAAUCUUAGUGUUCCAUUUUAACAUGCCUUUAGAAGAAAAUCUAGAGUGCUCCCAAUGAGGGAGUUUAUGCAUCACCUUGAAGGUGGAGUUUUUGAUUUAAAAGGCCAGAUUCUGUCCUGUGCAAAUCUGCUCAGUGCAACACUGGGGUGGUUGUCUGGGAGCUGGCUGUGAUGCUGGCAGACCAGGUGCCAGCUCAUGCCAGAGCCCCAGGCCAAUUCACUUGUGUAUUCAUAUAGAUCAAAGCAAUUGUUAAAUGUAUAAGAGUGUAUUUGGUGUUUAAACUUAAUGAAAACUAAUGGAAAGCUGCUUGCAUUGUUUUCACUUUAUGUAUCCUGUUAUAAUGCAAUAGCAAACAUUUACAUUGUUUAUACCCCUGUAACUAAAUAACCCAUCAAAUGUGAAAGAAGCAUUGUGGAAUGCAAAGUAGAACUUUAACAAAAAAGUGCUUAUUUCAAAGCAAGUGGCCAUUGUGUGUGAUGACUGGAGGUCAAGGACUCUAAGUGCAUUCCUCACUCACUGUCAUCAAAGGAAAAGUCCAUGUGGAUAAUAUCACUGUCCACUUGUUUUCUGUGAGAAGAAGCUACAAGUACGGAUUCAAGAAAAGAUCCUUCAUCUCUGGACUGCUUGCACUCUUGAAGGGAAACGUACCAGAAGCAAAGAGGAGAUCCCAAGAGACAAUCUGGGUAUCCUGAAAAGACUUCUGGGAAAUUGGCAGUUUAUUACAUCACUGCCACCAUUCUGAAUUAUGAACUGUGACUCACCUGUGCAUAUAUUUUACCUGCUUUAACCUCUCAGUAACUCUCAUUUUCUUU